rnacentral:rRNA from 1 species
CCUACGUGAGGCAGCAGUGGGGAAUAUUGCACAAUGGGGGAAACCCUGAUGCAGCGACGCCGCGUGAGUGAAGAAGUAUUUCAGUAUGUAAAGCUCUAUCAGCAGGGAAGAAAAUGACGGUACCUGACUAAGAAGCCCCGGCUAACUACGUGCCAGCAGCCGCGGUAAUACGUAGGGGGCAAGCGUUAUCCGGAUUUACUGGGUGGAAAGGGAGCGUAGACGGCCAGACAAGUCAGAAGUGAAAGCCCAGGGCUCAACCCUGGGACUGCUUUUGAAACUGCCGGGCUGGAGUGCAGGAGAGGUAAGCGGAAUUCCUAGUGUAGCGGUGAAAUGCGUAGAUAUUAGGAGGAACACCAGUGGCGAAGGCGGCUUACUGGACUGUAACUGACGUUGAGGCUCGAAAGCGUGGGGAGCAAACAGGAUUAGAUACCCUUGUAGUC